rnacentral:lncRNA from 1 species
AAUUUUGAAGUUUAGGGAUAAAAUUAUCAAAUUUGAGAAUAAAUUGAUCAGAAAUUGAAGAAUUAAUAAGUUUGGAAAUUUACUUAAAGUUUAGAUUAGUUUAAUUAAUGAAAUUAUAAGAAUUAAUAAGUUUGUGGACUUAAUUAAAACUUUGAUUUAAUUAAUUAAAUAAAUUCAGGGACUUAAUUGAAAUUUAUCCAAAAAGGGCAAAAUUGAAAGAAAUUUUUAUUUGCUUAGGGGUCCAAUUGCGAAAUUUCCAAAGUUCAGGGGUCAAAUUGAAAAUGUCCACGGGUUGCUUGAAAACGUCGCCGUUGCUGGGAACAGCUGUGUUCGUCGUCUCCAUCCCGGUUCAAAAGGCUGAAGAUCUGCAACAAAUUUGAUCCGAUCGUGGACCACGUCUCUUGCCCAUGAUCCCUCUCGUGAUUUGAAUAACAGUCCUGCAAAGAUGGGAUUGAUUUGGGGGGGGAGCUCUCGAGCUCUAUAAAAAGGGGCCAGAAAAAAACGAAAGAGACACCAGAGGGGCCAGAAAAAAACGAAAGAGAAACCCAAAAAGCAAAGAAGAAACCCAGAAAAAGCAGAGUUAAGAACAAGAAAAAUAGAGUUAAGAGAGUAAUUAGCCCCAAAACACAGAGAAGAACAGGAACAUCAACCCAAAACAGAGUGAAAAGAAAACAGGGCAUAAACCAAAAAAUAUAAAAAAACGCAGAAAAGAGAAGGAAAAGUAAAGGAGCAACACAGAGAGGAGGAUUGGCUUUGCCAUUGCUUUCGUCCCUGCAGAUAAAGAAAGACCCAGAAUCAAAACCCAAUUCAAAGCAGGUCGGCCUCUUCAUCUCCUUCUCGGCUUCAAAAGUUGCAGAGAAAAUUAAAGGAGCACGCAGGCAGGUGAGCGCAGAAGGAAGAUAAAGGGAAGCAGCGGGCGAGAAUCCAUCAGCGCUGCAAGCACCUUCAGUCUCUAGAAGCAGGUACGCUCGUUUCUUCUUUUU